UGUCCGCUCCGGCCAGGCCAGGUCACGCCGGCCCUUGGCUGGGGCCCUGCUCAGAGGCCAGUUUAAUUAAUGACAGUAGGACAAAUACUGCAGCGCUUCCGGGAAACUGCUGGCAGGGUUUUAGCUGUCCUGCUGAGCCCUGGUGCCAUGUGGGUGACGGGCGCCAUGAGCCCAGGCAGCAUCCUGCCCGGAGCUGGAGCUGUUUGGGGGCAACCGGCUGGAUGUGGGGGGAGAGGGGCAGAGCCAGGCCAUGCCAGGGGGUGACCUUUCCUUAUCACCCCCCCUGCGACGUGCUGCUCCAGUGCUGCCCUCAACCUUCCCGCGCGUCCCUGGGGGACAGCGUGUGACAGCCAGCUCCGCGGCGGCUGAGAGCCCGUGGGUGGCCUGUGCCACAAGGAGAGGGGGAACAACGAAGGCAGUUCAGCCCAGCUGGCCUCGUGCGGGAAACAUGAGCAUCCGAGCCUCCACACCCCGGCGGGGGAGAGGGGGCAAGCGGGACCCCAGGAUCUGCCCUCCUCAAAGCCCCCGCGGCACCGUCACGAAGCUCGCUGCAUCCCUGCACCACCCUGCUAACCUCCCCACGUCUAUUUGUUGCAGUGAUCCGAGCAAAGGCCGUCUCUGCGAAAGAGGUGGAUUCAGGGAACGAUAUAUAUGGGAAUCCGAUCAAGCGAAUCCAGUACGAGAUCAAGCAGAUCAAGAUGUUUAAAGGCCCUGACAAAGACAUAGAGUUCAUUUACACGGCUCCGUCCACGGCUGUGUGCGGUCGGGGGGUGCGGGAAGAAGGAGUAUCUCAUUGCAGGUAGGCAGGCGCGGAGCAGCCCGUGCUGGGGCUGUGGGCAGGGCAGCCUG
rnacentral:lncRNA from 1 species